rnacentral:rRNA from 1 species
UACCAGCACCCCGAGUGGUCGGGACGUUUAUUGGGCCUAAAGCAUCCGUAGCCGGUUCUACAAGUCUUCCGUUAAAUCCAACUGCUUAACAGAUGGGCUGCGGAAGAUACUAUAGGGCUAGGAGGCGGGAGAGGCAAGCGGUACUCAGUGGGUAGGGGUAAAAUCCUCUGAUCCAUUGAAGACCACCAGUGGCGAAGGCGGCUUGCCAGAACGCGCUCGACGGUGAGGGAUGAAAGCUGGGGGAGCAAACCGG